rnacentral:lncRNA from 1 species
AGGCCUCCCGCGAGAGGCCCCGGGUCAGGAGCUCCUGCAGAAACUGCCGCUCCUGGGGCCUGAGGGUGGGGAGCCGGGAGGGCAGGGACAGCAGAGCCUGGGCGCGGAGGUUGGGGCAGAGCCUGGGCAUGCGGCGAGCCACCCCUGCCACCCCUUUCCCGCUGGAAACCACAGAUGGCAAUGACAGCAGUAGUCCCCUGGCAGCCACACACCCCUCUCCAAGAACCCCAGCGUGCCACCUGCCAGAGCCUGCAGCUCCCACACCCCUCUCAUGCCUCCAGCACAGCCCUGCCACCACUUGCAGAGGAAGCUGAGACCAGAGCACUGAAGUAACCUGCCCAAGACUGCACAGCUUGCUGGCAGAGGAGCAGAGCCUGCGGCACGGCCUCUGUGUUACACUGUGGGCCCUGAGGAUGAGGACUGGCCUGGAGUCCCUUUGGGUCUGCAGAGCAAUGCCUGGCACAGAGCAGGCCCUGACUGGGGCUGCAGAGUCACUAAGUCCCUGCAUGGGGGACCAACUGAUGCAGGCUCUGAGGUCCCAGGAUUCUGUGGAGAUUCACAGGGGACCUAGGACCCUCGGAGCUGCCCUCUGAAUUCAAGCAGUGGUGCCUCCUGUGCUUGUCAGGCAGGAUGAUCUGUGGGGCCUGUGGGCUCUGACCUCACUCUGCAGCAGCAAAGCCCAGAGGCCUCACUUUUUCAUGAACCAGCACAGGCUCUCCUGAGAGCCCUGGAGGGAAGGCUCCGGCUAUACUGCCUCCUGGUGUGAGGAGGCUUCUCUCUUGUCUGUCCCACUAGGGCGGGGCUGACGUUCUACCCUUGCCGGUGGGCUCUGGUCUGCUUCCCCUCAUCAUGCCCUUCUCAACAUUCUCAUUUUCAGACUGAAGUUGGGUGAUUGCUCCUUUUCUCAGAGUGCUUGGGUGCAGCAGGCUGCGGAGGGGCACUGAGGCAGCCCAGCCUCAACCAGGGUUCCCAGGACCUGAGGCCCCAGGCUGGACCCCAGCAGGCUGCAGGCUGCCCUGCGGACACCACACCUCAACACCACAAAGGGCCCUGCUGAGGUUGGCAGUCAGUGCUCAGAGCACCUCCAGGCACGGUUCCUAACGAGCAAGCUGAUGCCAAGGUCACAUGACCAUGAGUUUUUGGCUGCGUUGGGUCCUGUUUAUGGAGAGAUGGUGGGAGGGGAGCAGCAUGGGUGGGUGGUGGUUCACGCUUAGGGGACUAACUGGGAGCUACAGUAAGACACAUGCGUACCAUUAAGAAGAGACUUUCUCUGUCGGAACUGUGGGUGCUUGUAGGCCCGGCCUGGAGGAGGAGGAAGCCGUGCUGUCCUUUUCUGCCCAAGUGUUCUCAGGCUGAGGCAGGCCUUAAGUGGCUCCGUGUGGAAAAGCUCUCUGUGGCUUUCUCACACUCUGGACACCACGUGGACCACUCAGGGCAGCAGGGGCGUUACUCUCGGGCUUGCAGCCUUUCAUGGACAUUUGAGAAGAUGCCUCUGUAGUCAGACUUUCCUCUGCUUACUCAUGGAGCCGACAGACAGAACUAAUGUUCUCCCCAGCCGCAGCUGAUCUCGACUCAGAAAAAAACGAAAAAUGGCAAGACCUGCCACUAAUGGGCAAUUGCACAUGAGUCAGUUUGUGUCACGGGUGUGUGUUCAGAGCUGGUGGUAGAUCCUCCGGCUUUUAUUUUUUAAGCCAGAGCCACCGCAUUAUUCUCAAUAAUCUCACCCAGGCUCUCGGGCUGCCAAGCACGUGUAUUUUUGUCUUUUACUUUCACAAUAGCACAGGAGUACUGGAGAAUGUGGCGUGGACCAUAGUUUACAUUUUCAGUGGAAACCAGGACCAGAGGCUGUGUGCUCGGGGCCCAGAUGGGGUGAGGACACCAGGUGGUAGGAAGUCGGGGGACAAAGGCUGUGGGCAAGAGCCUCAUCGAUCCUGCACCAGGAGGAGCCAGGGGAGGCUGCCCUGUCCCACAGAGAGGAGACCGAGGCUCCCGGAGGAGGACAAGUGGCAGGAAAGAAAACCGCGGUCUUUUCUCUCCCAGUCAGGGGGGUGGUGUGUUUCCCCUCCACCAUCUGGGAGGUUGUCUAUACUACGUGGGAUUUGAUUACAAAUAUUUCAAAAUAUUUAUGCCUGAAUAAAACCCUCCUCUUAACCAA